GAUAGCUCAGUCGGGAGAACAUGAGCCUCUUAAGAGACUCUUCAUCUCAAGAUUGUGGGUUUGAGUCCCACAUUGCA